UGGGGAAUUUUGGACAAUGGGCGCAAGCCUGAUCCAGCCAUGCCGCGUGCAGGAUGAAGGCCUUCGGGUUGUAAACUGCUUUUUGUACGGAACGAAAAGACUCUGGUUAAUACCUGGGGUCCAUGACGGUACCGUAAGAAUAAGCACCGGCUAACUACGUGCCAGCAGCCGCGGUAAUACGUAGGGUGCGAGCGUUAAUCGGAAUUACUGGGCGUAAAGCGUGCGCAGGCGGUUAUAUAAGACAGAUGUGAAAUCCCCGGGCUCAACCUGGGAACUGCAUUUGUGACUGUAUAGCUAGAGUACGGCAGAGGGGGAUGGAAUUCCGCGUGUAGCAGUGAAAUGCGUAGAUAUGCGGAGGAACACCGAUGGCGAAGGCAAUCCCCUGGGCCUGUACUGACGCUCAUGCACGAAAGCGUGGGGAGCAAACAGGAUUAGAUACCCCUGUAGUCCCUGAGCGGGCUGGCAAGGCGCAU
rnacentral:rRNA from 1 species